rnacentral:lncRNA from 1 species
GUACCUGACAACAAAAGAGAAUUCCUGGCUAAAGAUCAGUGUGCCUAAUACGAAGAAAAAGGACAUUGGGUCAGGGACUGCCCCAGAAAGAACAAGAGGGGACACUGGAGAGCCUCUUGGUGCUGGCUAUACACAGAGAUAGAAGGGAAGCCCGCCCAGUUGUUUUGUGGAUACAGGGACCCAAUGCUCUGUGCUCCUAUGCCCCCCUGUGGGCCAAUAUCCAAAGACCUUGAGUGCAAGGAGCUACUGACAACGAACAAUACUUAUGGACUGCCCGAAGAACAGUGGACCUUGGUGUGGGCCGGGUAACCCACCCACUAAUUCAUGGUCAUCCCUGACUGCCCCUAUCCCUUGCUCAUGAGAAAAUUGCUCUCCAAAUUGGCUUGCGUGGGCUGAAAUGGCUGGAUGAGGCCAUGUGUAUACAUAUCUAUAGACUGUGUAUGUGGAGCUUAAGACCUGUCUCAGUACACCAGUACUGAUGCUGGGAGAUGAAUGGCUUAGUGCUUUUCUGCUGGAACACACCGUUCCUGCCAGCCGGGCACUAACAAUUAUCACCCAAUCCAGGACUUAAACUGUGAUAGAGUGGCUGAUGUUUUGCCUUUGGAUAGAGUGUCCCUAAAGAUGGGACCACUGGUCAGCUGCCAUGGACUAGAUUCUCCACCGGUUGGGGACAAUCUGGUCACCUCGCUGCCCAAUCCGGACCUGGAGCCACCACAGCACGAGUGUCAAACACUGACAGAAGCACAUGGGUGGAGGAAAGACCUCUGCGACUGGCUGAUUGACCCCUGCUGAAAGCCGAGGACCUUGUCCACAGACGGGAACAGUUCUCUUCAUGAAUGAAGGUCAGAGACAAGUGGGUGCUGCCAUGGUGGACAACACAAUGUCAUCUAGAAUGGCUGAACCCCAACCCCCCCAGCACAUCAGCGCCACAGAUGUCUUUGCCAUCUCUUAGAUGCCCUGAUGAAGCCAACAACUGUGAGUACUAUUCAUUGCUUAGGAUAUCAGGAGGAAAGAGAUUCAGUGACAUGGGACAGUAACAAAACAGAUAAAGUGGCUCGAGAAAUGGUUAUACAGGAGCCUAUCCUGGUUACAGGCCUACAAGAGACAGCCACUGGGAACUGAGAUUGGACUAAGGGAUGGCCUCACUUAGAAUGUACAACAGAAAAAAAGGCCCAAGUUGUUUAAAAGAUAAAAGGACAAUGACACACUUGGGGAGAAAGCUAUACCCCCCAAAGAACAAACAAAAGACUCACUUUGCCAAAUUAAGAAAUAGACUCAUUUAAGAGAUAAGAAGUUUGUCUAAAUAGUUAAAAUAUAUAUAAUAGACUUUAAGAUUUUAGCCAAGAGAGACAGUAAAAAGUAUAAGAUAUGUCAAUAAGUAAAUGCUUAACAAGCAAACAGGGCAAAG